rnacentral:rRNA from 1 species
UACGUAGGGUGCGAGCGUUAAUCGGAAUUACUGGGCGUAAAGCGCGCGCAGGCGGUUUUGUAAGUCAGGUGUGAAAUCCCCGGGCUCAACCUGGGAAUGGCAUUUGGGACUGCAAGGCUGGAGUGCGGCAGAGGAGACUGGAAUUCCUGGUGUAGCAGUGAAAUGCGUAGAUAUCAGGAGGAAUACCGAUGGCGAAGGCAGGUCUCUGGGCUGACACUGACGCUCAUGCACGAAAGCGUGGGGAGCAAACAGG